AGGAUUAACGCUGGCGGCGUGCCUAACACAUGCAAGUCGAACGAGGUAGCAAUACCUAGUGGCAGACGGGUGAGUAACGCGUGGUCAACCUACCGUUGAGUGGGGGAUAACUAGCCGAAAGGUUAGCUAAUACCGCAUACGAGUUUCGGGGGCAUCCCUGAUUCUUAAAAGGAGCAAUCCGCUCGAUGACGGGACCGCGUCCCAUUAGCUAGAUGGUGGGGUAACGGCCUACCAUGGCACCGAUGGGUAGCUGGUUUGAGAGAGCGACCAGCCACACUGGGACUGAGAAACGGCCCAGACUCCUACGGGAGGCAGCAGUGAGGAAUUUUCCGCAAUGGGCGAAAGCCUGACGGAGCGACGCCGCGUGUGGGAAGAAGGCCUUCGGGUCGUAAACCACUGUCGAAGGGGACGAUAAUGACGGUACCCUUGGAGGAAGCCCCGGCUAACUACGCGCCAGCAGCCGC
rnacentral:rRNA from 1 species